UGUUCAUAACCCUUUGUUGUCCGACUCUGUUGCCUCCGGGGCGACCCUGCCUUCGGGCGGGGGCUCCGGGUGGACACUUCAAACUCUUGCGUAACUUUGCAGUCUGAGUAAACUUAAUUAAUAAAUUAAAACUUUUAACAACGGAUCUCUUGGUUCUGGCAUCGAUGAAGAACGCAGCGAAAUGCGAUAAGUAAUGUGAAUUGCAGAAUUCAGUGAAUCAUCGAAUCUUUGAACGCACAUUGCGCCCCCUGGUAUUCCGGGGGGCAUGCCUGUUCGAGCGUCAUUUCACCACUCAAGCCUCGCUUGGUAUUGGGCAACGCGGUCCGCCGCGUGCCUCAAAUCGACCGGCUGGGUCUUCUGUCCCCUAAGCGUUGUGGAAACUAUUCGCUAAAGGGUGUUCGGGAGGCUACGCCGUAAAACAACCCCAUUUCUAAGGUUGACCUCGGAUCAGGUAGGGAUACCCGCUGAACUUAAGCAUAU
rnacentral:rRNA from 1 species